rnacentral:lncRNA from 1 species
AUGUUUAUUGUGACUUAUUAUUACAUCUCACAUUUAAAUGUGCUUUAUGCAGGUUUGUUAAGUUCAAAACAAUGUGUCUGUGCGCUCUCACAGGUAGUUGUGCAUCGAGCUGUUUCUGACCUUACACUGAGGGUACCAGGAAAUCCAAUGGCAGCUGGAGAACCUAUUUCUGUUAAUGUGGAACUGUUCACUACCUUUAAGCACCAACUUUUCCUCAACCUCACACUAAAUCCCAACUAUAACCACAACUAUGAGAACAGCAACCUCAGCAGUAAAGAUAACGACAUUAAGAAAUGCAGUGAUGGGAUCAUUGACAAGAAGGAUAACUUACACAGUGAAAACACAAUUAGGGCUGAAAUUCAUGUAAGAAAAAUGACUCACUAUGAAAAUAGCAGUGAUCACUGCCAUAACUACAGAAAUCAUGGCAAAAUGAUUGAUCUCAAUGGACACCACAAUAAUAUCUCUCUCUUCCACACCUCCCAUCAGUCUGGCUGCAAUGUGCACCUCCACCUUCACUGCAACCUCCCCACAACAACAGGAAAGUAUCUCCUCGAAUUGUCUGUUUCCUCAACUACUGAUCUUUCAUCAGUGCUGCUUUCGACUGUCCUGCCUCAAUCCUUGGUGGUGUAUGAGCCUAUCUAUGCCCUGGGGCCUUCUGGGAGUUGGAUGUCGGUAGUUCCAACCCAUGCUGAAUUCAGCUUGGAGGUUGUUAGCCAUGCUAGACGCAUGGGUUCAAGAGUAAUCUGGACUUUUGGUUUGGAUAAUGCUGUUGUGAUGAAUAGGACAAGUGAGGAAUGGAAAAUAAGUUUGUCUCUUCCAAAAGCAGGGUGUUAUAAUGUCUUAGUUAAAGCCUUUAACCCAGUCAGCUCAGCCUCAUUUCAAAGAACAAUUCUGGUUCAAGAUCCAGUUGGAGAACUGGCAUUAAACACCCCCAGUGUGAUAACAACAAAUAAUAAAGAGUCUUUGUUAUUUAGCAUCACAGCAGGGUCGAACGUGACUGUCUCUGUGCUGGUGAAUGCAACAUUAAUGUACAGAAACAGCAGCUAUGCUACAGGAGAAGAAGCAAAAGUGGUUUUGCUUUUCAACCACACUGGAACCGUGGUGGUUGAGCUUCAAGCAGAUAAUCAAGUGUCUUCUCAGAACAAAAGCGUGACAGUGUUUGUUGAGGGGAACAGGAAGCCAUCACCACAAGCUAAAGUUAACUCAAACUGGCGACCGCCCACCAGCCAGACUCAUGUUCGUAACCGGGCUGACAAUGGUAAGGAAGUUUAUUUUUAUCAUAGUAAAUAUUACUGCAAAAUGCUUUAUUGUAUUCAGACUCAGCUCAAACAAGAUGUAAUCUUCUAA